rnacentral:rRNA from 1 species
UACGGGGGGGGCAAGCGUUGUUCGGAUUUACUGGGCGUAAAGGGCGCGUAGGCGGCGUGUUAAGUCAGCUGUGAAAUCUCCAAGCUUAACUUGGAACGGUCAGCUGAUACUGAUGUGCUAGAGUGCAGAAAGGGCAAUCGGAAUUCUUGGUGUAGCGGUGAAAUGCGUAGAUAUCAAGAGGAACACCUGAGGCGAAGGCGGGUUGCUAGGCUGACACUGACGCUGAGGCGCGAAAGCUAGGGUAGCAAACGGG